UGAAAGAUUCUCCAUGUUUGUUUCAUCAGUCUCUCUCUCCCUCUCUUGAACACCGCAAAGACAUUCCUAAAACGACGUCGCAAAACCACCAUGUUGGCUUCGGUGUCGAGCUGCUUAACACCAACUGUUCUCUUCUGCAUCUUGAACCUCACCAUAGUUACCAUUUUCAUAUCUUCAACCCUAAAAAAGCAACAGAAACUCAGUGAUGACCAGGACAACUCGUCGCCGCAACUCACCCGAGUUCCAUCACUUUUAGAACGAGUCAAGUCCAUCAACCUCUCUAUAUACCGCUCCGAACAGCCCGACCCGUCUGACUCCACUGCCCCACCUCAAGAACCUACACACCAGCAAAAGUCUGAAUGUGUGGAAGAGAGUCAUGUGACUAGGAACAAGUCCGACACGUGCAGGCAAGCUCCGACGAAAAGGGUGUUGAAGAAAUCGGCUAGUGAGAAGGUGUAUGUGGCUGAGCCGGAGGAAGAGGCGGAUCUACGGCGACCGGCGACAGUAAAGGAAACGACGUCGUCUAAUUGGCCGGAGGAUGAGGCUGUGGAUGCGAAAGCUGAUGAUUUCAUUAACAGGUUUAGGCAGCAGUUGAAAUUGCAGAGAUUGGACUCCAUCUUAAGGUACAAGGAAAUGCUCAGUAGAGGUUUGAGGAAUUGAAGCAUAUUAUUUUGGGACAGAUCUACCCUUCCUUACCAGUAUUUCUUUAAGCAAAGUGUAUGGGUUGUUUAGUCUUUCAAUAAUAAAUGAAUUCUUCUUUUGUGGGUGUUUUCUAAUUUUGUUAUGACUAGUAUAUUGUUACAAUAAUUUUUAUUUAUUACACCACAUUUUAAUAGUAGUUAAUUUCCAUAAUCUGAGUAUGUUGUAAUAAUUAUUUUUUUAAUUUUUUCGUUGAAUUCUUAUUUUUAAAUUUUGAUUAAUUAGCGCAUCUCGCCCUUGAUGAUAAUUUAUAUCAAAAUAUUUUGUUUCUAUGCUUGGAAAUGAGUAGGGCUGGACAAAAUUCUCGAAUCGAAUCGAACCUGACGGUUCUUCUCAAGUUAAAUAUCUGAACGUGUAUUUGAAUAAAGAACCGACAGGUAUGAUUCGAUUCUUGAUUCUAGGUCAAGACCCGAAAAAUCGAAUAAGAACUGAAUUUUCGUAAUUUUUUAAUUAAUUUAUUUUAAAUAAGUACGAUUAUUUUAUUUUUUCUAAAUAAAUUUGUUAACUAGUUAAUUUAGUUCAAACCAUAAAAUAUGAUUUUUCUAUUUUUAAUUUUCAGUUUAAAGUAAACUUAAUCAAAUUGACCUUAAUUUUAUUUAAAUUUGUUAUUCUAUUGUAGUGUCGUUUCUAUCGGAGAAAUCAAAUUAAAACUCUAUAAUAUCUCUCUUAAUUAUUUUGAGCUCGCUAUCUUUCUCUUUCUAAGAUUUUAAUAAUCAAAUUUAUGAAAAAUUUAGCAAAGAGAGACGUGAAACACAUAAGAUUGAAUUGAAUUAUGUUAUUUUGUAAGAACUAAUAUUGAACAUAUUAUUAAUUAAAUUAACGUAAUUUUGUAUAUAUUAAAAAAUUUAAUUAUAAUACGAAAUCGAAUGAAACUGAAAUCAGACCAAACCGAACCGAAUCGAAUGGAAUCGAACUCGAACUUUUCCGUAAUUAAAUUUAGACCCGACGGUUUCACUUACUAAACACUCGAAAAUUUCGGGUCGAUUCGAUUCUCGUUAAAACCGAAUCGGACCAUAUCCAGCCCUAAAAAUGAGAGAAAAUUUAUUAUUAUUAUUUUCUCUCUUUCUUUAUUAUUUUAAAAUAUGAUUAAAAAAUAAAUCGUUAUAAGCAAAUUCAGCAGGCUUUUUGGACAAACUGCUUUUUGGGUAAAAUGUUAUCAAAUAUUAAACGCGUUAACUAAUAGAAAAUUUGGGGAUAAGAAUGUCGUGAAAAAUCGUUAGAGAUACAAAUACUAUAAUAAGUAAAGAUUAAAAACUUUAAGUGUAAAUAAAAAUUAUGGUGUAAAUAUAAUUAGAUUUUGUUAUUUGACCGAUUUUAUUGAUGGAUAAUCGGGCAGAUGGAAAAAUGAGAAGUGAGAUAAAAAUGUUUGAAACAAUUCUUGUUAUCUCGUCAAAAUAAGUGAAAUGCUUAAGUUGAGUUCGCACUUCUCUUAAUGAGUCUGUCCAUUCUCCUUUGUCCAAUCACUAAAGACUGCCACAAUCGUGAUCGUUGGUCCCGCAUUUCCGUUUAGCUUAAAGGAGGAGCCAAUUUUAAAAAUAAAUAAAAAAAAUUAUUUUAAAUUUUAUUUAAUUAUAAGUAAAAUUUAAAGCUUAACCAAAAUUACAAGAAGAUGGCAUCAAGUGGUGAAAUUGAUUCGUGGAGAUAAAUUAUAAUUGCUUUGAGCUCUGGACAGUCGGUUGUUCGUGUUGGAUGAUGCUAGAUUGGCCACGUGGCUCUCUCCGUCCAUGCGAAACACAUUGCCCUGUUCAUUUAGAAUAAUUCGUUCGUGUUCCAUGCUUUUUAAUGUUAUCUAUUUGACAUAUUAAUAGGAAUUUGAGGAAAUUGGUGAUGCUAAAAUACACUUCAACAAUCUCAUAAAUAUACAUUUGGUUUUCUUUUUCGUCUAUCUCAAAUUAUAAGUUUUUUUUUUUUUUUUUUUUAUCGAGAGAAUAUUGUUGAGCUAUUAGUUUUCUAACACGUCUCUAUUUAAUGUAUGUUGUUAUUAACAAAGAUGUAUUAUUCCUAUUUAUACUAUUAUUUAAUGUACGGAUAUAGCAAAAAAAUGAUAAAAAAUUUAAUUCUAUAUUUUCUUAAUGCAUGUGAAGAUUGAAACAAGUCCAUCUUUAUGGGACGACGAGGUAAUAAAUAGUUUACAAAUCAUGGUGUAUACUCUCGUUUGACCCCUUUUAAAACUCUUCAAUUUAAUUUAAUUUUUUUCUCUCCAAUUUUUAACAAUACAAUUUUUAAUAAAAUAAUAUUACAUUCAAAUCAAAAAAUUUUCAACCACAAAAUCUAAAAAAAAAAUGCUAUUCCUCUAUUAUAAAUUCAAAUAAUGGGGGUCAGCCUCUCGAAUAUAGUUCAGUGGUGUAAAUGACAGAAGUGAGAUUAUUUGACGCUUGGCUGGUAGUCGCAGUGUGUGUGUUCGAUUCCUGAAACAUGAAAUUGGACUUCUUAUAGGUGCAGUGUACAUGUAGCUCUUGUUUUUUGAACCGUUGAAGUACAUCUCACAAUUUACCUCCAUUACAAAGCUUUAAAAAAGGCAUGUGGAGGCUCUCCGAGCUGGAGUUCAACCUUUAAAUAAUGGGACCAAACGAGAGUUAUAUGUAUCAGAGUUAACACUGAAAGCUUCUCAAUGUUUCAUCAGUCUCUCCCUCCCUCUCUUGAACACCGCAAAGACAUUCCUUAAACGACGUCACAAAACCACCAUGUGGGCUUCGGUGUCGAGCUGCUUAACACCAACUGUUCUCUUCUGCAUCUUGAACCUCACCAUAGUUACCAUUGUCAUAACUUCAACCCGAAAAAAGCACUAUAAACUCAGUGAUGACCAGGACAACUCGCCGCCGCAACUCACCCGAGUUCCAUCACUUUUAGAACGAGUCAAGUCCAUCAACCUCUCUAAAUACCGCUCCGAACAGCCCGACCCGUUUGACUCCGCUGCCCCACCUUAAGAAC
rnacentral:lncRNA from 1 species